ACACAUGCAGUCGAGCGCACCUUCGGGUGAGCGGCGGACGGGUGAGUAACGCGUGGGAACGUGCCCUUCUCUGCGGAAUAGCCACUGGAAACGGUGAGUAAUACCGCAUACGCCCUUCGGGGGAAAGAUUUAUCGGAGAAGGAUCGGCCCGCGUUAGAUUAGGUAGUUGGUGGGGUAAUGGCCUACCAAGCCUACGAUCUAUAGCUGGUUUGAGAGGAUGAUCAGCCACACUGGGACUGAGACACGGCCCAGACUCCUACGGGAGGCAGCAGUGGGGAAUCUUAGACAAUGGGCGCAAGCCUGAUCUAGCCAUGCCGCGUGAGUGAUGAAGGCCUUAGGGUCGUAAAGCUCUUUCGCUGGGGAAGAUAAUGACUGUACCCAGUAAAGAAACCCCGGCUAACUCCGUGCCAGCAGCCGCGGUAAUACGGAGGGGGUUAGCGUUGUUCGGAAUUACUGGGCGUAAAGCGCGCGUAGGCGGAUCAGAAAGUUGGGGGUGAAAUCCCGGGGCUCAACCUCGGAACUGCCUCCAAAACUCCUGGUCUUGAGUUCGAGAGAGGUGAGUGGAAUUCCGAGUGUAGAGGUGAAAUUCGUAGAUAUUCGGAGGAACACCAGUGGCGAAGGCGGCUCACUGGCUCGAUACUGACGCUGAGGUGCGAAAGUGUGGGGAGCAAACAGGAUUAGAUACCCUGGUAGUCCACACCGUAAACGAUGAAUGCCAGUCGUCGGCAAGCAUGCUUGUCGGUGACACACCUAACGGAUUAAGCAUUCCGCCUGGGGAGUACGGUCGCAAGAUUAAAACU
rnacentral:rRNA from 1 species